ensembl:lncRNA
GUUGGCCCGCCCCAUGCUGCGCGCCUGAGGGCGGCGUGGGCGCCAGAGGGGUUAUCUCGUACCCGGGGCACUUUGUGUCGGGGUGGGCAGUUGUAGAUAAGAGGCUCACAGAAGUGCCCCCCAGCCAACGUCCUAACAGGGGCCCCGGCAGGGUGUUACACCCACCAGUACAGAGCUUCUGCACGGAUAGCCAUCUGGAAAGGGAGGUACACAAGUACGGCUACCAACACUGCAGUCACAGAAAGGCAGAGAAGCAACCCUGCUUGAGGACAGCUGCAGCUUUUGCAGUCCAUCAAGACUGAAGAUCUCCAUUUGUGAUUUUAUAGCUCCAGAAAUGUCUGAAUCAUUUUCCAUGACAACUGCUGGGAAGGCUCCUGCUGAAAUGCCAAUUACCAAAACCGGAAAGAAUGCUGGCAGAUUUUCUAAGGCCAGAGCAGUGGGAGAUCAAGUCAGACUUCCUGAAGGAAACAUUUUGCACCAUGUGCAUUCACUGUUUCCCCUUCCACAGCACACUGGGAAUGCAGCAAAUCUCAUAUGCUGAUAUGCAGUGAGCAAGCAAGUCUGGAUCUGAUGCUGAAUGUGGCUGUGCUUGUCCAAACCUGCAUGGUUCUGCCAAGCCACAAAAGGCAGUGGGCUUACAUGUGCUUUUAUCUGGGGGCAAAUCUUGGGCUUUACACAUGGCUGCAUCUGAGAGGAACAAACAAACCUGAAGAUGUGAGUGGAGCUGUGGAUAUGCAUUAUGGGUUCCCCAGCUGCAAACUGAAGGAAUCUGUGAGAAAAAAAAGCAUCAUAGGUAUGAUAUAUAUAGUGCAGUAAUGCCAUUGAUUUGUAAUUCUGCUACCAUAUGGUGAGUGAUGCCAAAAGUAAAUUGAUUAUCUCUGAUAGAAGAACAAAAAAUAAAAGAGAGAGAAAAAAAAUGGUACAAAUUAAAAACAAAGCAACAAAGAUUGGUAAGGGGUCGUUUUGUGCUAAAAGAAGUGAAUGAUUUUAUUGUGACUCUUGAAUCAAAUGUUACAAGAUUGCCAAUUUUUCCCUCAGAAGAGAUCCACCUAAUCUAUUCCAAAAUCUGUUUUUAGGUUAUUUUUGAAGGUCACUUUUUUUAAUCUUCAUUUUGUGUAAAAACAAGUUCUGAUAGAUACUAUGAAGACAAAGAGAUAUCGAGAGAAAAACCUGUGCUCUUUAGCAAGAUGAUAGAAAUUCAUUAUUCACAGCUGCAUACACACAUGAUUUUAAGUUCUAACAGCCAGCAAUUAGUUUAAACAGUAAUACCACCAAGGGAAGCAUAACUUAGUUAAAAUUUACAUUUAAAUGAGAUCAUUUGGAGAAAUCAAAUGCAGAACAAUCUGUUAUUUUUAUAUAACAUUUCAUAGUAGAUUUUCUUAGUAAGGUAUUUCUCACAAUAUAGUUUUAUUACUUGCUGGUCUGAAAUUAUCAUGAUACAUUUGUACUUGUAGGGGGAAAAGAAUAUUUCAUUUACCAUUUUUUUCAUUAACAACUUGAUGCAGAAAAUUAUCUGUGUCCAAAAAAGCAUAUUAACCAAAUUUAACUUUAAGCUUAUGCUUUGUGCCUUGGAAAGCUAAGCUCAUAUGUGUGAUGCUUUUUGGUCUGUCUGCUUGUUUUGUUUUAUUCUGAACAUAAAUUGUAAUUCUAAAUGAAUUUGCUUUGUCUGCUACAGGGAUAUACGUAAUUUCUGUGCUGAAGCUCUUUGAAUUUGUGAGCUAUUUUAAUUCUUGUAACCAGUUAAGAACCAGCAUUGUUUGAUCCAGUUGUAAGACUGUGGAGACUUUUUUUGCCAGACAGAAUUAUUUUCGGAUUUAACUGUGAGCUACAAGAUUAGAAAAAAAAUGAAAAAAACCCUG